AAAAAAAAGGUAAGCCAACCAAUUUAUAUACUAGAAUGUUAUCUAACCAGUAACAAGAUGAGAAUUACUUGAUUCAUGUACAAUCAAUGAAAGAUAAAAAAACAAAAUGGGAUUUUUCUAGUUAGUGAAAGUAUUAGGCAUCUUAUAUGUUAAUGUAGCCAUGAUUUUGAUAUGCAUUGUCAUGUCUUAUUAUACUUGAAAUGAGGAAAUUAUUAUCUCACCAUAACCAAACGAGAUAUAUUUUCUAUGCUUGUGAAGUCAGUUCGUUAACUCUCCUAGUGAAAGUCAUUGAAAUGUUGUUGUAAAAAUCAUAGUGUCACAUGGAAAACAGUUGGUUUAUGUAGACGGGUGACAAUGAUUGUUAGAUAGGCAAAUGUAGAUCGUCCUGGAGAUUGCUACCGAUAGGAGGUCUACUUCGGACUACUAUGUUCUUACUCAAAGGAAUCUAAUAUCUAGAAAAAGCAAGAAGCAAUGGUUGUUUCAAGGUCAAAUAUAGAGAUUGAAUAUUGUGCUAUGGAUAACAUGCGAACUUUCGUGGCUAAAACACCUUCCUCCAGAACUAACGUUUAGUGAGUUAGGUCCUAUGAAGCUUCUUUGUGCUAAAAAACUACUUCCAUUCCUCUUCUCUGCUUCACUUCUGGGCUUGUGGUUUAUUGGCUUCUCACUUUGUGACUGGUCGUGGAUCUGAUCGCAGUAUCCUUGUUCUUUUUUGGUUUCUUGCUGCUUUCUAUUUGUUGCAUGGGUAUUUAUUCUCUUUGCUGCACGUGUACUUGCUUACUAUUUGGUAUUUGUUGCUGCUUGCUAUACUAACAUGUUUACAGUGUGAAAGACAACCUUUGUGUUCGUUUCCCAGGUAACAAUUAUGCCUUUUGGGAAUUUCAAUUUAUGGAUUCGCCUAGAUGAAGUUUCUAAGGCACCGGCAGAGAAAGUUGCUUUAGAUACGUGGAAAAGUCAAAGAUACUCAAAUUAUCUCUUGUAUUCUCAGUACUACUGAUCUCCAUAUGAUCAAUAAUAUGUGCUCUUUCUUCACAGCUCAAGAAAUGUGAAAUGCGCGUUUACAACCAAGAUAAUACAACCAUUAGAGUUGGAGAUAGCCAAUUACAAACAAGGUAAUUUUUCCGUUGAAGAGUAUUAGUCUGAUUUUUUAAAUUUGUGGACCUAACACUGCAAUAUUAUAUGUUGUUGUUCUCAAAACUUCACUCUCGGCUGUCCAAUAAGUCUAUGACACCAAUAAACGGUGCAUCGGACCUGUCCAAUAUCACGAGAAAUUGAUAUGCAACAUGUGCUCUUAUACAGUUGAAUAGCCGAGGGUCAAGUUGUAGGAAUAACAACAUAUAAUAUGAUAGAGUGUUCGAUCCAUAAAUUUAAAAAUCUAAAAUAAUACUGUUGAAUAUACAAAUUAACUUUUUUGUAAUUGGCUAUCUCCAACUCCAAUCGAAAAUGUUUGGCUGUAUUAUUUUGGUUUUAUAUACGUAUCAAAUAAUUCCACAUUUCUUGAGCCGUCCUAAAAAAACACAAAUUAUUGAUCAUCUGGAAACCAAUAGUGGUGAGAAUCCAAGAAAUAAUUUGAGCAUCUUUGACUUCCCACUUAUAUAAAACAAUUUCUCUGAUGCCUUAGAAACUUCAUCUAAGUGACUCCAUAGUCCUUUCCCUCGGACAUACAUCUUGAACUAAAAUUUCCAAGCGGGGCGUAACUCUUUGCCAGUGAGGCAGACACAGAAAUUAUUUUUAUCUGAAGUUGUCAUGAUGGCAGAAAGAUAAGCUAUGGAAUUGCUUUGACUGAAAACAAUCCUUCACAAGGUGUUGACCAACAAACUUGCCAAAGAGAACGAAAAACUUCAAAACUGGUCAUCUACGGGAAAAAAAGCCCACAAGUGUGUCAUCCAACAACACCAACAAAACUGUUGACUUGCGACCAGAAUCGAAAUCCCAAAAUCACAGAAGCAGAAUCACAACCAAGAAAUCAUGGAAGCAAAAAUCACAAGAACGAAACACAGAAUCAUGAUCAAGGAGCAGCAGCGAGAACGAAAUAAUCGGGUUUACACAGCAAUGAGAAUCCAGAACAACAAUUGAGCAACAGCGAGAGUACAGAACCAGGAUCAAGUAGAGUGAGAACAAAAUUGGAACUCAACCAUGAAUCACAACCUCAAAGGUCAACAAGAGCCAAAACAAGAACGAGAAAAUAAUUACAAUUGCAACAAAGACGACACGAUUUGAUCAACCAGAUUGAUACCAUCUAUAAAUAAUAGUAUGAGUAAUUACAGAUAAUUACAACUCAUAAUGGAAAAUAUUCCAUUGCCUAAUUUAUCUAACCUAUUCAUUAAAUUAUUUAAAAUAAAGACGGAAAUCAAUUCCUCAUUAACAGUGUUGAUUUAUUUUCCCAUUUCUUCGGUGAUUUGAUUUAGAUUCAUAGCUCAGAUUUUUUAGUCCUAAGUUUUGGGGAUUUCCUUUUAUGUAGAGCUUGUAAAUGUAUAUUUGUACAGUAACAUCAAAUAAUGAGAUGAGAAAUGCAUUCAGUUUCAAGUAUCUGUUACGAAAA